CUCUGGUUUAGGAAAUAAAUCAGGGCAUAAAGGAG
rnacentral:ncRNA from 1 species